rnacentral:tRNA from 1 species
UGGCAUAAUGGCAGAUUAGUGCCCUAGGUUUAAGCCCUAAAUAUGGGGGAUUCCCCCCUUAUGCCAU